rnacentral:rRNA from 1 species
UACGAAGGGGGCUAGCGUUGUUCGGAAUUACUGGGCGUAAAGGGCGCGUAGGCGGUACUUCAAGUCAGGCGUGAAAGCCCCGGGCUCAACCUGGGAACCGCGCUUGAGACUGGAGAACUAGAGUUCGGGAGAGGAUGGUGGAAUUCCCAGUUGUAGAGGUGAAAUUCGUAGAUAUUGGGAAGAACACCGAUGGCGAAGGCAGCCAUCUGGACCGACACUGACGCUGAGGCGCGAAAGCGUGGGGGAGCAAAACAGG